rnacentral:rRNA from 1 species
GACAGAGGAGGCGAGCGUUAUCCGGAGUUAUUGGGCGUAAAGCGCGCGCAGGCGGCAACCUAAGUGUCGUGUGAAAGCCCCCGGCUCAACCGGGGGAGGCCAUGGCAAACUGGGUCGCUCGAGCUGCGGAGAGGCCCCUCGAAUUGCCGGUGUAGCGGUGAAAUGCGUAGAGAUCGGCAGGAAGACCAAGGGGGAAGCCAGGGGGCUGGCCGCAGGCUGACGCUGAGGCGCGACAGCGUGGGGAGCAAACCGG